rnacentral:rRNA from 1 species
ACCCUGAUCCAGCAAUGCCGCGUGAGUGAAGAAGGCCUUCGGGUUGUAAAGCUCUUUUGUCAGGGAAGAAACGGUGUGAGCUAAUAUCCCAUGCUAAUGACGGUACCUGAAGAAUAAGCACCGGCUAACUACGUGCCAGCAGCCGCGGUAAUACGUAGGGUGCAAGCGUUAAUCGGAAUUACUGGGCGUAAAGCGUGCGCAGGCGGUUUUGUAAGACUGUCGUGAAAUCCCCGGGCUCAACCUGGGAAUGGCGAUGGUGACUGCAAGGCUAGAGUUUGGCAGAGGGGGGUAGAAUUCCACGUGUAGCAGUGAAAUGCGUAGAUAUGUGGAGGAACACCGAUGGCGAAGGCAGCCCCCUGGGUCAAAACUGACGCUCAUGCACGAAAGCGUGGGGAGCAAACAGGAUUAGAUACCCUGGUAGUCCACGCCCUAAACGAUGUCUACUAGUUGUCGGGUUUUAAUUAACUUGGUAACGCAGCUAACGCGUGAAGUAGACCGCCUGGGGAGUACGGUCGCAAGAUUAAAACUCAAAGGAAUUGACGGGGACCCGCACAAGCGGUGGAUGAUGUGGAUUAAUUCGAUGCAACGCGAAAAACCUUACCUACCCUUGACAUGGAUGGAAUCCCGGAGAGA